rnacentral:rRNA from 1 species
UUUCUUAAUUAGAGACUAGAAUGAAAGGUAGAAACCUUAAAGGAAUGUUUUUAUUAAUAAUUUUGAAUUUAAAUUAAAAAUUAAAAUGUUUUUAUAAAUUUUUGGGACGAUAAGACCCUAGAAGCUUAAAAAAUUAAUUUUUAAUUGGGGUAAUUAUUGAAGAAUAUAAAAUUUUAUUUUUAUAAAUAUAGUAAUUUUAAAGUUACUCUAGGGAUAACAGCGUUAUUUAAUUAGAAAGUUCUUAUUAAUAAUUAAGAUUGCGACCUCGAUGUUGAAUUAAAU